AGCAGCCGCGGUAAUUCCAGCUCCAAUAGCGUAUAUUAAAGUUGCUGCAGUUAAAAAGCUCGUAGUUGAAUUUCGGGAUCAAUAUAUCGGUCGUGCCUUGGUACGUACUGGUAUCAUUGGUUUCUCCUUUCUGACGAACCAUGAUGUCAUUAAUUUGGUGUCUUGGGGAAUCAGGACUGUUACUUUGAAAAAAUUGAGUGUUUAAAGCAGGCUCACGCUUGAAUACAUUAGCAUGGAAUAAUGAAAUAGGACGUUUGAUUCUAUUUUGUUGGUUUCUAGGAUCGACGUAAUGAUUAAUAGGGAUAGUUGGGGGCAUUAGUAUUCAAUUGUCAGAGGUGAAAUUCUUGGAUUUAUUGAAGACUAACUACUGCGAAAGCAUUUGCCAAGGAUGUUUUCAUUAAUCAAGAACGAAAGUUAGGGAUCGAAGACGAUCAGAUACCGUCGUAGUCUUAACCAGUAAACCUAUGCCGACUAGGGAUCGGAUGGAUGUUAAUUUUUANGUA
rnacentral:rRNA from 1 species